CGCGCACUUGUCACAAGGAAACAACAACAACAAAAUGUGCUAAAAAAAUGAACUUGCGAGGAAAAGUAAAGUUUUUGAUCGAUUUUCCGCUAAUUGUGACAUUAAGCAAUGAUAUUUCAACGACUUCUUUUGAUAGAAUCUCAGUUUUCUCAAUUCAUACGUCAUAUAGGGUAAGAACGCUGUACGAUGCAAUGGCAAUAUUUCGUCUGGUGAAUUCGGACAACAUUUAAGCUGACUGGGAAAAGUGGAAAAAAAAGCACAGAUAUAUGAUAUGUAAAUGGGGGAAAAGCAACAGAUCACAGAGAACCCUGUAUCUCGUUUUGGGUCUUCCUUGGUGGAAAUGUUUUGUCUGACAGCCGAUGGUUUAGUUUAAUACAGUCCACUUCAACCAGACUGGAGAGAAGACACAUGCAACUAUCUGGCACGAGAUUGUAGAUAGCAAUUACUGGUAUUUUUCAAACUUUUGAUGAAGGAUGACAAAAAGUUGGACUUUUAUAGUCUGGUUUGAUUUUUAACUGCUUGAGUGACUGGUAAAACAAAUGGUUUGUAUGGCAUGGCUGAACAGAAUAGACUGACUAUCUCAUCAGCAGACAUCUUUACAUGUACUAAACUAGUACCUGAAAUUUACUGAGAAAAUAUGCACACAUGAAACAAGAUAUCCAAUGGAGUACUUCAAAAGACAGUCUGGUUCUGUUUCUUCAUAGAACAUUGAAAAAAGCCUUUCGCCUUGACAUUUAAGCAAGUGUAAAGAAUACCUUAUUGAAGUUCUUCAGUAGAGAGACCACAAAAAAUAGAGGGACAUGCUGUACUACAACUUGUCAAACAGACCAUUAUAGCUGUCACAAAAUGGAGCAAACACUCAUAUCUGAAUAAACGUCAAAGUGCUUAGCUUGAUUUCCUUACUAAAACAUGAUGUUAAUCAAAGUUUAAAAGUUAUACAAUUUUUGUAUGUUUUAGCCCUCUACAUGAAAACAGGAAUCAUUGUAAUUCGGAAGUGAUGUCAGUGAAGUUGGACAUAAAAAGACCACAGUAUGAUAUACUGUAAUUACCAGUGAAGGAAACAGCAGUGCCAUAAGAAACUAUUCAAUACAUGUAUUUGGAAAAAUUAAAAAUUUAUAAUAAAACUGAAGUUAUCAUGUACAGUAAUUAUAAUUCAGGAUUUCAGAGUGGACUGAUUUACUGAAACUAUUGCAGUUUAGUAGCCAAGCACUUUCUUAAACUGUUGUAAUAGAUCACAAUUUCUUAUAGAUUAUUAUAAAAAACUUUUUAUCAGAUAAAAGUGGCUGUUGACACCUUAUUUGUGACUAGUGAAUUAAAAACUAAUAACUAGUAAGAUUCUUCUGGGAAACAAAUUGUCAUAAUGCCUUCUGAGCACACGCAAACGUCUUUAGAUAUAGUAAAACAUGUACUGUGUUAUCUCAAGUGAUACAAAUGCAUUUUUAUAUAGUAAAAGAACUACCUUGUUUUGGUCAGUGGUUAGUUGAUCAGGGUCAAUAGUAAUUUUUCUUGGCUGAACAAUUUAUACAUUGACUACUUAUCAGAAAUGCUGUUUUAAAUACAAGUUUCUUAAUAUUUUUGAUAUCUUACAAAUGAACAUUGAUUUAGAAUUUGAAAAAAAUAUUUUUAUUAUUUGAGAAAGAAAAUUUUUAGCUCCACUGAGUACAAAGUGCUCAUGGUAAGCUUUUAGGAUUGUUGGAUGUCAGCCGUCUGUCUGUAUGUUGUCCAUAUUUUCUUUAAAGAACAUCUCACAGACCAUUAAGUCAGUUUCAAUCAAAAUUUUCAGGAAUGUCUCUUUGGUGGUCCUCUAUCAGAAAUCUGAAAAUCUGUGUCAUCCAGACUGAAUUCUGGAUGCCACUGUACCAAAAGAAAUACAUCUUGGAACCACUGACAUGUUUUUGGUAUAAUUUCACAGAAAUGUUCUUUUGGUGACCCUCUACCAAAUUUUUCAAAACAUUCUAUUUUCUUAAAAAAAGCAUUGCCACCAGGUGGUGGAUUAAUUAGUUUUCUCUAUAUGGCUGUAUGGAAAACUUUGAAUAUUUCUGAAACUACUGGCCCAGUUUCUAAAUAAUUUCACAGCAAUGUACUUUAAGUGAAUCUAUACCAAAUAAUUCUUUUUCGUUGAUAAACAUGGCUGCUAGGGGUUAGGGUUAAUUUUCCUUGAAAGGCUAUAGUUUUGCUAGACUUGAAAAUUCUUCUCCUUUAAAAGUGCUGGACCAAUUUAAAAAUAAUUCUAAAGAAAUGAUUUUUGGGUUACAAUCCACUAAAUUAAAUGUACUUGAAAUAAUUUUGUUCCUGAAACACAUGACUGUCUGAGGGUGGGGUUUGUUUUCCCUAUAUGGCUAUGUGGAACAAAAUUGAAUACGGUCUCUCAAACCACUAGUAUGAUUUCAAAUAAUUUAACAGUUGUAUUCAUUGAGUCACCAUGCACCUGCAUGUCAUGUUGAUUUGUUAAAAAAAAUCGUUUACAGAUGAGGCUGGUUAACUCUUUUUGGCAAUUUUCAAAUCUCUGAAGCUUUUGUACAGAUCUCAAAAUGAUUUCAGAGCAGUGUACCUUAAGUGACCCUUUACAAAAACACAAGCCAUGUUGAUUUGUUUAAAAAAAAUAUGGCUGCCAGAGAUGAGGCUAGUUUACUCUAUUUGGCUGAAUAAAAAAAAAUUAAAAGAAAUCUCUGAAGCUACUAACCCAGAUUAAAAAUAAUUUCACAAUGUGCCUAUGGUAACUCUCGCAUUAACCCCACCCCAAAAUUAUUGCCUCUUAGAACCCCAUGUCAUCAUUUCCCCCCUCUUCACCCUUCUGCCACACAUAAACACAUUAUUGCACAGAUUUAUUUAGUGGAUUUUUUUUUAAUCCCCCACCAGGUGUGGUAGGGGGUUAUAGGAAUGGUCUCCAUACAUCCUUCCGUAACAUUUUGUGUCUGCUCUGUAUCUCCUAUACCCCUCGAAGGAUUUUCAUGAAACUUGGGUCAAAUGAUAACCUCAUCAAGAUGAUGUGCAGAACCCAUGAGUCAGCCAUGUCGGCUCAAGGUAAAGGUCACAACUCGAGGUCAAAGGAUUGAGCCAUCUAUUUUGUGUCCGCUCUGUAUCUCCUAAACCCCUUGAAGGAUAAUCAUGAAACUUGGAUCAAAUGAUCACCUCAUCAAGGCAAUAUGCAGAACUUGUGAGUCAGCCAUAUUAGCUCAAGGUCAAGGUCACAACUCAAGGUCAACUAUUUUACCCUUCCUUUUCAUGUCUGCUCUAUAUCUCCUAAACCCCUUGAAGGAAUUUUAUAAAACUUGUGUCAAAUGAUCACCUCAUCAAGACGAUGUGCAGAAAUGAUGAGUCAGUCAUGCUGGCUCAAGGUCAAGCUCACAACUUGUGGUCUAAGGUUUGAGCCUUCCAUUUUGUGUCCACUGUAUCUCCUAAACCCCUUGAAGGAUUUUCAUCAAACUUGGGUCAAAUGAUCCCCUCAUCAAGAACUCAUGAGUCAUCCAUGUCGUCACAACUCAAGGUCAAAGGUUUGAGCUCUUUAUCUCCUAAACCCCUUAAAGGAUUUUCAUGAAACUUUGGUUAAAUGAUCGCCUCAUCAGGAUGAUGUGCAGAAGUCAUGGGUCAGUUCAAGGUCAAGGUCAAAGGUUUACCCUUUCACUAUCCAUAACAGUGACGGGGGAUUUAGCUGUCUUUCAAACUGCCUUGUUCUUGUCAGAAAACGCUAUCUUUAUUUCAGAUCAUUUUACUAAUGUUGCAUGACCAUCUACCAAAACUGUUGAAGCCAGUUGUGUAUCUCGGAUGAAUAAACUGGAAUCAUCAUUGUCCUCUUGUUUAGCAAUGUGUUCUGCAAAAUUCUUUAAUGUCAGUUUUUUACAAAAACCUGGAAAUUGUUGACUUUGUUAAAACCAAGGAAAUAGUUAGGAAUCUGACUCCGAACCCUUGCCAGACUUUAUUCAGACUAUGUAUAUUCACAGCCAGUAAUCUUUUUCAUAAAAUAAAUGUUGAUUUUAAUUAUAAAAUAUAUGAAUAUA